AGCCUCAACUGCUUGAGCUAAGAGCAAGCUCAGUGUUUCCUUCAAGCAGCAUCGUGGACAGAUUCCUGCCAGACCCUUCAGAGCAAGCACCCCACACCCCUAGCCCAGGGUCUCUUCAUCGAUAGGGGGUGAUCUGUCUGCCCCUCACUGUUUUCUCCAAAUAGCAUCUCCAAAUGGACUAGACUCGACAAGCAAACAGUCUGCAGUGGACCCCUUGGGUCAUCCAUUCUGAUGGAAACAAUAAUGACAGUAAUUCGCAUCACUAACCUUCCCUGAAAGCUUACUACAUGUCAGGAAGUGCUAUUCUAAAAGGGCUUCACAUGUAUUCAUUCAUUUCAUCCUCCUGACAAUCCUGUGAUACAGGUGUUUUUGUUAUGAGUCCUAUUUCAACAAAGCACAAGUGAAUACACCUUCUCCACAGCCCAGCCACAGUGAGGGAGUCAUCAGCACUGGAACCCGGGGUCCACGGCCUUGGAGGAUCCGGACCCUCCGCAUUUGAGGAACUUGGCCUUCAGUCAGGGAGCCAAGAAGUCCCUGCCAAUCAAGGAGGGGGUGUGGGCUGGUGGGGGGGGGGCAGCCUUGGGGCACGGGAGCUGAUAGACCAGACUCAAGAGUUCUACUCCUGACUUCUAGAUUGUUCCACCUCCAUAUGGAAUAUGUUCCUUCCAUCUAACACUGUGUGAUUUGGGGACCAUCCAACUCAAAUGAAAGAAGCCAAGCCAUGCAGCGAGCCACCCCCUCCCCAAUGUGGGGUACCCCCUGCCCCCGCCCAGCUCCCCUGCCCUCCCAGCUGAGGGGGGAUCGCCGCCUGGUGAUCUCAGCCUCCCCUCCAAGUGGGCUGUGAAGUGUCUAAUCCAGGCUUUCAUCUGGCAUCCACAAUUAUAAUGUCAAGAUUGAAUAAUCUGCCUUUAUCUCCCGGGUGACAGCCAUGUAGAAACUUCAAAAGAAACAGUUUUGCUGGCAUCUAACGGCUUUUGUUAAUUACUAUAUCCCAAAGAAAAUGAAAUAAAGGAGGGAGAAAAAUGAUAUUUCUCUGUGACAACUUUGUAAAAAUAUCAGUGAUGAAGUGGUGCGGUUUAAGGGCUUUAAGUAUUCAUGCGGCUGAGAUGGGGCCUCUACCCUCCCGCUGGGAAGCUUAAGCGUGCCCGAGGGUGCAUGCACACACACACUCACACACUC
rnacentral:lncRNA from 1 species